rnacentral:rRNA from 1 species
AAUGCGAUGUGGGGACGGAGAAGGUUAACUCAGCCGGGUGUUGGAUGUCCCGGUUCAAGCGUGUAGACGUGCUGUUUAGGCAAAUCCGGACGGCUUAGUUGAGACGUGAUAACGCAACACUCCUCGGAGUGCCAAGUGAGCGAUACCAUGCUUCCAGGAAAAGCCACUAAGCUUCAGUUGAAUGAAGACCGUACCGUAAACCGACACAGGUGGGUAGGAUGAGAAUUCUAAGGCGCUUGAGAGAACUCAGGAGAAGGAACUCGGCAAAAUAGCACCGUAACUUCGGGAAAAGGUGUGCCCUUUGUAUGUGUAGCGCCUCGCGCGUGAAGCAGAAUAGGGUUGCAAUGAAAUGGUGGCUGCGACUGUUUAAUAAAAACAUAGCACUCUGCAAACACGAAAGUGGACGUAUAGAGUGUGACGCCUGCCCGGUGCCGGAAGGUUAAAUGAUGGGGUGCAAGCUCUUGAUUGAAGCCCCGGUAAACGGCGGCCGUAACCAUAACGGUCCUAAGGUAGCGAAAUUCCUUGUCGGGUAAGUUCCGACCUGCACGAAUGGCGUAACGAUGGCCACACUGUCUCCUCCUGGGACUCAGCGAAGUUGAAAUGUUUGUGAAGAUGCAAUCUCCCCGCGGCUAGACGGAAAGACCCCGUGCACCUUUACUGUAGCUUUACAUUGGACUUUGAUAACAUCUGUGUAGGAUAGGUGGGAGGCUUUGAAGUGGACUCGCUAGAGUUCAUGGAGCCAUCGUUGAAAUACCACCCUGAUGUUGUUGGGGUUCUAACCUAGAUCCAUUAUCUGGAUUGGGGACCGUGUAUGGUAGGCAGUUUGACUGGGGCGGUCUCCUCCCAAAUUGUAACGGAGGAGUACGAAGGUACGCUAGGUACGGUCGGAAAUCGUGCUGAUAGUGCAAUGGCAAAAGCGUGCUUGACUGCGAGACUGACAAGUCGAGCAGGUGCGAAAGCAGGUCAUAGUGAUCCGGUGGUUCUGUAUGGAAGGGCCAUCGCUCAACGGAUAAAAGGUACGCCGGGGAUAACAGGCUGAUUCCUCCCAAGAGUUCAUAUCGACGGGGGAGUUUGGCACCUCGAUGUCGGCUCAUCACAUCCUGGGGCUGUAGCCGGUCCCAAGGGUAUGGCUGUUCGCCAUUUAAAGUGGUACGUGAGCUGGGUUUAAAACGUCGUGAGACAGUUUGGUCCCUAUCUGCCGUGGGCGUUGGAAGUUUGAGUGGACCUGCUCCUAGUACGAGAGGACCGGAGUGGACGCACCUCUGGUGUACCGGUUAUGACGCCAGUCGUAUCGCCGGGUAGCUAAGUGCGGAAGAGAUAACCGCUGAAAGCAUCUAAGCGGGAAACUCUCCUCAAGAUGAGACUUCCCGAGGGUUUAACCCUCCUAAAGGUUCGUCGAAGACUACGACGUUGAUAGGUCGGGUGUGGAAGCAUAGUAAUAUGUUAAGCUAACCGAUACUAAUUGACCGUGAGGCUUGAUC